rnacentral:misc_RNA from 1 species
CUUUAUAAAUAUCGCUUACGAAGUAUAUUGACAAUCAGCAUUUUUUAAACACAUUUUAGUACUUAUUUUGAAGUACAUAGGUACUACGCGAGGAACUUCACAAAGGUGUGGUACUGGUGCAGUGAAAUACAUAAUGCAAUGUAGUUACUAAUUGCUAUUGGUGUUGUAAAAGGUGAUUAAGUAUCAGUAUUAAGUUUUGUGGUUUCUGUGAUAGUACUAAAAUUAAACAUGAGUGAGGAAGUGGUCGUUUCUAGUGAUAACGAAGAACAAAAUAACAACCUGCUAUCGGUAAAAGGUGUUACAGUUACCGAAUCGUCGGAUUUUGUGGAAGAAAGUAGUGAAUGUAGUGAAUCGGAUAACAAAAGUGGAAAUGAGAGAUACGACGAUGACCAUAGCGUAAUAGAGUCUUUUAUGCAAUGUACGAACGAAGAGGCGGAAGCGCGAUUAUGGGCAAAAAGGCAAGCCAGAGCCGAAGCGAGGGAGAUACGAAUGAGGGAACUAGAACGACAACAAAAAGAGCAGGAAGAGAAUGCAGACAGGCAAUUCGACAUGCUGUCUUCAGAACCGACCUCAUUGGUAAGGACCCCGAGAAGUGCUGGAAAUCGAUACUUGUCCAGCCGAAGAAGCUCAGAAGAUUCUUUGGAAGAUGGAGGAAGUUUAAGAGAAUUAAGGCACGAAUUGAAAGAAGUCGAGGAUAAAUUUCGAAAAGCGAUGAUAGCCAAUGCUCAGUUGGAUAACGACAAAACUGCGCAGACGUAUCAACUAGAACUGUUGAAAGAUAGACUGGAAGAAUUAGAAGAGGAACAUUCUCAACUUAAAAGGGAGCACCGAGAGAAAUGUCGAGAACACCAAACUUUAAAAAGUAUUUGUGCUAAAUUAAAAGAAGAUUUAGCAGUGACGAGGUACGAACUCGAAGAACGAGAUCGACUAAUAUCAGAAAAGGGGCUAGUGAUAGUGGGUGAUGAUGCAUCGCCUGAUGAUGACGAUGAAGAAGUACAACAUCCACCGAAGAAGGCUUUAGUUAGUGUGGAAAAUGCUCAUUUGUUAGAAACUGCAGGAGAUGGAAGUUUAGAUGUACGGUUAUCUCGGUUCCUUAAAGAGAAAAACGAACUUCAAGAUCAAAUUAGCCAUUUAAAACUAGAAUUAGAAGAAGAAAAAAAUAAAAGGAGGAAAAUAAGUUCGGGUGGCAUCUUGAAUGGACCCUCUUCUGACUAUGAUUAUGACGAUAUUCAAAGAGAAGCGAGAAAUCAAUUGUCGGAUUGGAAGUUUAGAGCUCAGAAAGCAGAACAAGAUGUUGCAACACUUCAAGCGACAGUGGCACGACUAGAAAGCCAAGUUAUUAGGUACAAAACUGCCGCUGAAACCUCGGAACAGUCAGAAGAAGUUCUUAAGGCCGAGAAGAGGAAAUUGCAGCGGGAGGCAAGAGACGCGCUUAAUCGAGCUGAAGAACUUGAAACUGCGAAUUCGCAUUUGCUUAAGAGAUUAGAUAAAUUAAAAAAUGCCAAAUCGGCCUUACUGAAAGAACUGUAGUUCAAUGUACUACUUAACUAGGUACUCUAUUUAAAUUUAAGACUAAAAACCUUCCAGGGUUUUUACUUCUCCAAAAAUUCGUACGUAAUCAAUAAUUUUGAAAUUAAACGAUUUUAUUAACUAUCGACUAUGCAGAGUGUUUCAAAUAUUUUUAACAGAGUUAAUGUUUUCUAUUGUUAGGAAAAUUGUUAUAUAUCAUUGUGAAGUACCUUUUACUUAUAAAUACACAUUUACAUAAAGUGUCACAGUGGUAUUUAAAUAGUGAAUAUUCGGGUAAGUUUCCGAUUAUCAGUUAAAAUGGAGAUAUAGUUAGUCGAUAUUUUUGACAGUAGUUUUAUCAUUGAUGGCGUGCAUUUCAUUGUAUAGGAGAAAAUAAUAAUUUCUUUUAUUAGCUGAUCUUUUUUGGAUCUUCAAAUACAGAGACUGACAAAGCACCUGUGCGAAUUUUAUUGUCUGCAUCUCAGGAAAGAGUAAUAAAAUCUUUAAAGGGACGCCGACAAAGGUCGGAAUAAAAGACAGAUACAUAUAUUACAGAUUUCGUUAAAGAUGUAACAUUUCGUCUUUUUAUCAAUAUUCGAUUCCAUAGAUUUCUUCCAAAUAUUUCCCUGAGUAAUUUUCUUUUCUAUACUUAUAGCAUUUGUUCGGAUUUGUUCAUCGUCCAUGUUUCACUGACUUAUAAUAUAAUGCUAUAGUUCUUAUCAAUAUCUUAUAGAUUCUUGCCUUAGCCCUUCUAGAUAUGUUUUACUUCUUAAUAACUUAUUGAGAGCAAAGGUACAAGGAUUUUUAACCAUAAUUUUCGCUUGGAUUUCUUCCUUCAUAUGGACCAAUCAUAUACACCAAUUCUUUCAAAUAUACCAAAAAACUGAACGACUGAAACAGUUCCUAGUUCCAGUGGAGAUAUUGGGGUUAACAAAGAGGACCGGACAUGACCUAUUUGCCUAGUCAUACAACAACGCCACUUGCUGCUAUUAUUGUAACCCACUACUUUUUAAGAUCUGUGAGUUUGUACUAUGAACAAAAUCUCUUCAGGAUAAUUCUAGAGAGAGUUUAACAUCAAACACGAAUAAACGGUAGAUUAUUAUUAGAUCAAAAACAUAUUUUGACGGGCAGACACGAAUUGAGGACCAAAAUGAAAUUUUAAGCAAGGGUUUACUUUUAUACCUGAAAAAAUCGCACGAAUUGAGGACCAAGACUUCUGAUAAUGAAAUCAUUAUACUCAGGUAUAAAAUAUUAUUAAAAGUACGAUUUUAAUAUUUAUACUUUAUGAAAACAUGAUGCAAAUUUUACAAAAUCUAUUCGUCUCAACAAACCGUUAUUAUAUUCCGACAUUUUGGAAGUUAACAUGUUUAAUCUUCCCCUAACAAUUUUGUUCUCACUCAUUUUGACUACCUUUCAAGACAGCUCAAAAUAAACUAAAACUAAAAUAAUUUUUUAUUAUUAAAUAUUUCCUUACUCAUUAAAAUCUCGUUAAAGAAUCGGACCAUCAUUAACCCUAAUUACCUACCUUAAUCUACCUACCUACCUAUCUCUCGUAUGGUCCGUAAUUCGGUGCACUUAUUUUGGCUGUUCAGGUAGCGGUCCUCAAUUCGAGAACACCGAUUUUGACAAUUCCUAUACAGAACGAUAAAGCCAUGUUAAGUUCCUGGGAACAAGCUGCAUAGAAAGGCUAAAAAAGGAGUGGUGAGAGAGAGUUAGAUAAGGCAUGUGUGUGAACGUGAUUAGUAUUUGUAUGAUUCAAGAUAUAAAUAAUUAAAGGUAUGGAAUUAAAGAAACCGACUCCACAAAGAGAUGGAGGCAAAGAUAAUGAUGAACGUUAAUAAAGAUAGCCGAUACUUGAAUCGAAAUUAUUGAAAUUGAUUUUUUUUAAUUAGGAAUACAUUAAAAUACAUAUAUGAAGUAUUUGGAAUACUUUGUAUGUCGAUCGUUUCAAAACAUUUAACUUACUAUUACAAAAUGAAAUUGUUUAUUUCCAUUGUUUUGUAAAAAAUAGGUUUCAAGUUAUUUAUUUGAAAUUAAAUAUUGUCAAUACGUCUGUAUUUAUUUGUUAGUUAGGAAUGUAUGUUGGAAAAAGGUGUAAAAUAUCUGUAACAAACCAUUAAUUAUGAUAUAUAAAAUCGAUCCAAAAUAAAAGUUAUAUAACAACAGUUUUUUAAAUACUACUCACCCAUUUAAAUAAUAUAAAAGAAAAUACUGAAUAGAAUAAUAAAUGUCCAAUGUACUUUUUCAGAAAUGAGAAAAUAAUAGCACAUGGUUUUUUAACACAAAAAAAAUAAAUAACUCUAAGAGUACCGAACGAGUUAAAGAGAUUGUUUAGCUCGGAGGUUCGCAAACUACUUUUUCUCGUAGACCUCUUUAAAAAAUUUACUGGUUUCGGUGAACCCCCAGCAGAAGUGGUAUUUCGUAGCUGUGCAUGUCAGUGGCGGGUCUAGAAAAUUGCCUGGGUGUUGGGGGAACUUGGGUGGAAAAAAAUAAGACAUUAAUGAAGGUCGAACCGUAUUUUUCUUCUUUUUUUUUUCUCAAAAUAUCAUUCGAAGCGAUUUUACAGUGAUUUGGAAUUUAUUUGCAUUUUUUAUCGUAAAGUAUCAAUGGAAAAAAUAAUGUUUUAAUAGAAGGGACUACUCAAAAAUGUGAUUAUUAGGCAUUAUAACAAGUUUCUUUAUUUAAAACAUGUUUUUAAAUAGAUCAAAUUUUAGGGUAGAAAACCUGUAGAAUACUGUUUUUUACAUUUACCUCCAUUCCCAAAAUACAUGUUCUUCUAUUUGGCUGAAACUUUGCCCAGAGAUAGUCAAAACACAGGAAUUUAAGUUGUUAAAAGAAUUUGCAUAAUUUUAUAAUACAAGAAAAGUUACAUGCACUAAUAUCAGAGUCAAAAUUAUAUAGUCCAGUCGGGUUAGCAUUUGAUCUUGCAUGCCGAGCUACCCAAGCAAGAUUCUAUUUUUCUAAGCUUUAGGGGGUCAAUAGUAGUUUAAAUUUAAAAGCGCGAAUGAAUUCUGCCGUUGCGUUAGCCGCCAUCUUGAUUUUAAAGGAGAACCGUUUUUGCUUAAUAUCUCCGCCAUUUUUAACUUUCCGGCAAAAAGUGUAAGGACUGAAAUUGUUGAAAAUAUGAUUUACUAUAAGUAAUUUCUUUUAUUAUAAAUUUGUUGUGCCGUCGAUGUUUUCCGAGUUAUGGGGGGAAAUAGUGACAAUUAGAGCAUAAUUAUUGAAUUAUAUCGUUUAUUAUUAGUUUUAUAACAAAAAUGUACCUAUACAAAAAUGAACAGAAUUAAAUUUUAAACAAUUUUAACCUCUUUCAUUUUUUUGCUAAAAUCAAUAUUUCAGGUAGUACGUAUGCGGUAAAGGCGCGAGCAUAGGACAUGAUUGGUUUGAUAGCAGUGGUUUUUGUUCAAUAUCUCCGCCAUUUUCAACUUUUCGACAAAAAUUUUAGGAACUGAAAUUGUUCCAAAUAAAUCGUGUUUACAAUAAUUAUUACAAUUUUUUUUAAGCAUUUUUUUCGUACGGUCGAUAUUUUCCGAGUUAAUUGUUCUUAAAGUAGACGCCUAUAUUUUUGACUCUGAUGUUAUUCCACGCGUUUUUUUAUAUUGUAAAACUAUUUAAAAAAUUUAAUCACUUAAAGUCUUGUGUCUUGGCUAUCUGUGGGCAAAUUUUCAGUCAAAUCGAAGAACAAAUUUUUUGGGAAUGGAGCAAAAUAUAAAAAACGUAUUUUAACGUUUUCUACACAAAAAUAAAAUUUUUAAUCAAAAUAACCUAUUAUAAUGCGUUAUAAUGACAUUUUUGUGUCCAUACUAUUAAAAUAUUAUUUUUCCAUAUUGAUAUAUUACGAAAAAAAUGGAAAUUUGUUUAAAUAAAUACCAAAUCAGUAUAAAAUUUUCGUGGAACCCCACUUACAACUUGUGAACCCCCAUUUUUAUUUCACGCCAACGUAGACCCCCGUUGAGUCACUUGUGGACCCCUAGGGGUCCACCUGGACCACUUUGGGAAUCACUGGUUUAGCUAAUGAAUGUGAAACUUACGUUAAAAUCAGUUAUUAAUAAACAAUUUAAGUUAUCCAAGGUUUGCCAAUUCAUGAAGCUUGAAAAAACUUCGUCUUUAAAUAUAAGCAAUUUUGCAUGGUUGUUCUGUCCACCAACAGAUAAACAUGUUAUCUUCUAGUUACAUGACCGUUAAAAAUCGUUGGAAAUCAUGUUGGCUUCCAUAUUCGCUAUCGUGACUUUACUGACAGCAGUUCUGAAUAAUGAAUUUUUCUACCAGGACCACGUUUCCCUUGUAGUCCAAGAGGCAGCGCUGAAAAAUCUCUUUGAAUUUACUAAAGCUAGAUUUUUCACAGUUGAUUACUGUGAUUGUGUAGAGAAACAUACUGCGGUCGGUCAAGCGAAACGUAGAACAGGGGUUACUGAGAGAGUAUCAAAAUUGCUUUCCUACGAAGGUAAUUAAAUCCAUUUACUAAGGCUGAAAAUCAGUACACACAUUCUAAAUUAAAUAUAAAUAAAAGUUAUUAUAGUCGGUCAGCUGUAUGACGGGACAGAGCCGGUCGGUCGGCCCCAGUGAAUGUACAGGGUUAUUCACUAUACUUUGACCCCCUUGUGAACUGCUUUAUUUACACAAUUAGAAAAAAAUGUAAAAUACAAAAGUUAUUCGAUUUUUUAAUUAUGAUUUUUUGACAUAUAUAUCGUACUAGUGACGUCAUCCAUUUGGGCGUGAUGACAUAAUCGACUAUUUUUUUUAAAUGGGAAUAGGGGUCGAGUGCUAGCUCAUUUGAAAGGUUAUUCAAUUCUCUAUUCAGUAAUAUAAACAUUAACAUGAUUAAUUAUACAGGGUGUCCAAAAAAAAUUUUAAUUAAAUUAACUGUUUAAUUAAUAAUUAAAAAAAAAUUUUUGGACACCCUGUAUAAAUAAUGAUCUUAAUGUUUAUAGUACUGUAUAGAGAAUUGAAUAACCUUUCAAAUGAGCUAGCACACGACCCCUAUUCUCAUUUAAAAAAAUAGUCGAUUACGUCAUCACGCCCAGAUGGAUAGCGUCACUAGUACGAUAUAUAUGUGAAAACAUCAUAAUUAAAAAAUCGAAUUCUGUAAAUAAAGCAGUUUACAAGGGGGUCAAAAUAUAGUGAAUAACCCUGUACAUUCAUUGGGGCCGACCGACCGGCUCUGUCCCGUCAUACAGCUGACCGACUACAAUAACUUUUAAUUAUAUUCAAUUUAGAAUGUGAGUACUGAUUUUCAGCCUUAGUAAAUGGAUUUAAUUACCUUCGUAGGAAAGCAACUUUGAUGCCAUCUCAGUAACCCCUGUUCUACGUUUCGCUUGACCGACCGCAGUAUGUUUCUCUACACAAUCACAGUAAUCAACUGUGAAAAAUUUAGCUUUAGUAAAUUCAAAGAGAUUUUUCAGCGCUGCCUCUUCGUCUAUUGGAUCUAUCCCUGAAUGAUCAGAUGCAAAAGUUCAUUUGAUUCUUUUGACACGAUUUGGAUUUGUUUACAUGCGGUAUCUUCGAUUUUUUUGUGUACAAAACACAUCAGCCUUUCACAAGUGUUUAUUUUUAGGCUUAGGAAGCAUUUGAGAUGUAGUGUACUAUAGAAGGAUUUUGAAAAUACCAUGGAUCUAACGAGUUACAAAUACAGAAGUGUUAAGAAGGCUACAAAAGGUUUACGAGGUCAUAAAAAACGUUUAAACAAGAAAGCCGGAACAUUUAGGCCACAUUACCAGAGGUGCGAAAUAUGAGAUAUUAAGGCUGAUAAUGCAAGGUAAAAUUAAGGGUAAAAGAUCCAUAGGAAGACGAUAAUUUUCUGACUGAGAAACUUAAAAGAUUGGUAUAUUUGCAGCUCAGUAUAUCUUUUCAGAGGAGCAGCCAAUAAGGCACGGAUAGUUGUGAUGAUAGCCAACCUCCGAUAGAAGAAGGAACUAUAAGAAGAAAAAUUUUUAAGCUCACCCUUUUCUUGGAUUUUAAACAGCGUAUAAGCGAUCUUUAAACUAGUUACCCAAGUUUUUUAGCAACUACCCCAAUGUUAAGCGCAUGCCUUUUUUGACUUGUUUAUAAUGUUUCUACUUAGCCUCAAAAUAUAUCUGCGGCAUUCCUAUAUUUAUAAAAAAUGUGUUUUUAAUGCUGAUUCAUGGUCGAUCAGUGAACGAAAGUAAAUAUCCAUUGUCGCAUCGUCUUUGAUGUCCACCCCAGUUGCAGACGCAAUGUCAGGAAGAAAUAAUUUCAGACCACGGCUAUAAAUUUCUUAAGUAACAGGAAGAGAGUUGUUAAAAUUAAAGAAUCAAGCUCAGAUCCGUACACGACAAAUAAAGGAGUACCACAGGGAUCCGUGCUGGGGCCAGUAUCAUUCCCAAUUUUUAUUAACGACCUACCAGAUCACAUAAAGGCACUUAAAAUAUCAACUGGGCAGAUAGCCCCAGUUGCUGUCGCAAAAUCAGGAAGAAAUAAUUUCAGACCACGACUAUAAUUUGCAAUUUUAUGCUGGUACCUCAAACCUUAAAAACUUUUUAAACUGCAUUGCUCUAAAGUAAAUUGGCAUUUAUUUGCGUUUAGUAAAUGUUUAUUUAAAAUUGUUGCAAAUUGUUCUACUUUCUCGAAACUCCUUAUACCGUUCAGAGGUAUCUGAGUAUAAAUUUUAGAAAAGUAUUUGGUAGUUAUAAGCAAAAAAUUACAAAAAUGCAAUAUAUUCUAAUUAUUUUUUACAUUUACAGUAAUCAUGUAAUUAUUCCUGUGCCUUUUGCGGUAUUCCAUGUCCACAGAUAUUUUACACCUAUAGCGCAUUUUUAUUAUUUUUUGUAAAUACUUGUAAUUUUAUCACGCCUCAGGAUUUAAAGUGUCCAUACAAUUUUUGAUACAUAUUUUGUGUUACCCUAGCUGCUUAAUUUGGAUUGAUGUUUGGGCUUUUCUUCAGAAGUUUGACACAAAAUGUCGACAAAUGCAAAAGAAUAUUUUUGAGAUCUACUAUUUUUUAAUUCUCACUAGGUUUUUACGCCAGCUGUGGUAAUAACAUUAGUUGGUAAUAGACGGAGAGGCAACGCUGAAAAAUCUCUUUGAAUUUACUAAAGCUAAAUUUUUCACAGUUGAUUACUGUGAUUGUGUAGAGAAACAUACUGCGGUCGGUCAAGGGAGCGUUCAAGUAUUACGUAACGCAAUUUUUGAAGAUUUUUGACCCCCCUCCCCCCAUGUAACGCACCGUAACGUUUUUAUGUACCCCCUCCCCCUACCUAAACGUUACGUAACACCCAAGUCACCAUUUGAACCUAAAUGGAAAACUAGGUUGCGAAAAGUACCGGAAUUAUUAUUUUAAUCGCAUUUGAGGUAAUAAUGAAAACUUACUAUCAUCAUCCAGCCUCAAAAGUCUACUGCUGAACAUAGGCCUCCUCCCGUCAUUUCCAACCACGUCUAUCCUGCGCCGCUCUCAUCCAGUUUUUAUUUAGCUUUCUUACGUCGUCUGUCCAUCUUGUAGGCGGUCAACCGGCGCUUCUCUUGUCUUCUCUUGGCCUCCAUUCCAAUAACCUUUUUGUCCAUCGCCCAUGUGUCAUUCUCGCUAUGUGUCCUGCCCAUCUCCACUUCAAGUUAGCUAUCCUUUUGAUGGCGUCAGUCACCUUUUUUCUUCUCCUGAUUUCUUCGUUUCUGAUUUUGUCUCACAGAGUUAUUCCUUAACAUUGACCGCUCCAUUCUUCUCUGCGUUACUCUUAGUUUGGUAGCCGAGGCUUUAGGUAAGGUAAGUGUUUCUGAUCCGUACGUCAAGACUGGGAGGACGCACUGAUCAAAUACCUUUCUCUUUAGGCAUAUGAGCAACUCACUCUUAAAAGUUUCUCUCAGUUUUCCAAAUGCUGCCCACCCAAGAACGGUUCUUCUUUUUAGUUCAUGUGUCUGGUUAUCCCUGCCAAUCGUAAUUUCAUGUCCCAUGACAUGAAAUAUGUCCAAAACUUAGAAUAAUAAUCUUUUAUUACUAAUUUUACAUUUACAUUUUCCCUGCUUGGCCCCAUCCUUACAUACAUUUUAGGCUUCAUCCUUUAUUGUUCUUCUCAUGCAUUCUUCUAUUUGAUCUUCUUUAAUAAAAACUUAAAAUAAAAUAACAUAUUUAUUAUUUCAAUAUUUUAUUUUGCUUAGUAAAAAUUUUUGUAUAACAAAUAUUAUACGAUGUUGCCAGUAGUUUCGGAAAAAUAUUGAAAAAAAUGUGUAAAACUUUUUGUUCUUCAACGUCCUGUAUCGUGAAAACGCAUGCCGUUACAAAAAUUUUAUACUAAGCAAACCCCAAUUAUUUUUCAGUUUUUCACCUAUCUUAGAGAUAGUGUUACCUUUUUCUGAAACACUCUGUAUAUAUAAGAAGGCACUUAUGGAAUAAAAUUAUUUCUGUCCAUAUUUUAAUCAAUUUUAAAAAACGCUGCGACCCGUAGAUUUUCAUAUAUAAAAACAUAAAUUUAAAUGUACAGGGUGAUUCAUGCAAGACUACCGUAGUCCAUAAGCUUUAUUUUUUAACACCCUGUAUAUUUUUAUAUGUUAAAAAGCUGCUUAACAAUCUGAAUUUAUGGUCUUUAUGAAUAAUACAGGGUGAUCAUUUAAAAUUAUAAUGUAUGGAAACCACUUAUGGAAUAAAAUUGUUUUUGUCAUGUGUCAUUAUUUUAGAAAAUUAUAAAAACGCUAGGAUACGUCAACUUCUAAAUUCAACUAUGGACUAUUUAAACAUAAAUUUGAAUAUACAGGGUGAUUCACUCAAGUCUAGCAUAGUCCAUUAUCUUUAAUUUUAAUUAAACACCAUGUAUAUUUUUGUUUUUAGAAGCUGCUUAACAACCUCAUCUCAAAAAUGUGUAUUAUGUAGGGUCUAUUAUGAAUAAUGCAAGGUGAAAUUUUGAAAUUCACUUGAAAUUUUGAAAUCACACUUUAAAUAAGGGUACUAUUUUUUUAAAUAUCUAUCAAUUUUCUAAACUAAGUAUCAAUAUAGUGGGUUUUGUAUUUAAUGCUUUUUAUUUAAAGACAUUUUUAAAUAAUUUGAAAAUUUGCGUAUUUAAAACAUUAAUGAAUACCUACUGCAGAAAACGAUUUCAGAAAACAUACAAGAUUUAUGAACAUGUAGUUCCCUUCUGCAACCUCUUAAAUAACAUCUGUAUCUUUUAAUCUUUUGUUGUGGAGACAGGUCCAUCUAAUUAUUGGAAACAGAUGUUACUGUGCUUCAUCUGUGUUACAAAUUUAAGAUUUUUUCACUUGAAUAGGUACUAUUAAUUAUUGUCCUGUUGUCGGAACAUGAACGGAGCGUGAGAGUGCAACAUAAUACAAUUCAGGGGUCUAUGUAAAACAUAAAAGAAAUCCCGUAGUUUUUUUUUCAUUAAGUUAAAAAAUAAUCCACAAGGAAAAAGUUUUCCUGUAGUUGGCUGUAUACCAUGUAAUACAAAAAAUAGUAAAUCCUUUAUAAAAGGUAUAUAUUUACCUUAAAAUAUAUACCUUUUAUAAAGGAUUUACUAAUUUUUUAAAAAAGAAUGUUACGUAACGCGCUGUUCGAACCCCCUCCCCCCCAUGUAACGCGCCGUAACGUUUUACAAGACCCUCCCUCCCCCCAAACUGCGUUACGUAAUACUUGAACGCUUCCCAAGCGAAACGUAGAACAGGGGUUACUGAGAGGCUAUCAAAGUUGCUUUCCUACGAAGGUAAUUAAAUCCAUUUACUAAGGCUGAAAAUCAGUACACACAUUCUAAAUUGAAUAUAAAUAAAAGUUAUUAUAGUCGGUCAGCUGUAUGACGGGACAGAGCCGGUCGGUCGGCCCCAAUGAAUGUACAGGGUUAUUCACUAUAUUUUGACCCCAUUGUAAACUGCUUUAUCUACAGAAUUAGAAAAAAAUGUAUAAUACAAAAGUUAUUCGAUUUUUUAAUUAUGAUUUUUUGACAUAUAUAUCGUACUAGUGACGUCAUCCAUGCUUUCCUACGAAGGUAAUUAAAUCCAUUUACUAAGGCUGAAAAUCAGUACACACAUUCUAAAUUGAAUAUAAAUAAAAGUUAUUAUAGUCGGUCAGCUGUAUGACGGGACAGAGCCGGUCGGUCGGCCCCAAUGAAUGUACAGGGUUAUUCACUAUAUUUUGACCCCCUUGUAAACUGCUUUAUCUACAGAAUUAGAAAAAAAAUGUGUAAUACAAAAGUUAUUCGAUUUUUUAAUUAUGAUUUUUUGACAUAUAUAUCGUACUAGUGACGUCAUCCAUCUGGGCGUGACGUCAUCCAUCGGCUAUUUUUUUAAAUGAGAAUGGGGUAGUGUGCUAGCUCAUUUGAAAGGUUAUUCAAUUCUCUAUACAGUACUAUAAACAUUAAGAUCAUUAUUUAUACGGGGUGUCCAAAAAUUUUUUUUUAAUUAUUAAACAAUUAAUUUAAUUAAAAAAAAUUUUUGCACACCCUGUAUAAUUAAUCAUGUUAAUGUUUAUAUUACUGAAUAAAUAAUUGAAUAACUUUUCAAAUGAGCUAGCACUCAACCCCUAUUCCCAUUUAAAAAAAAAGUCGAUUACGUCAUUACGCCCAAAUGGAUGACGUCACUAGUACGAUAUAUAUGUCAAAAAAAUCAAAAUUAAAAAAUUGAAUAACUUUUGUAUUUUACAUCUUUUUCUAAUUCUGUAAAUAAAGCAGUUUACAAGGGGGUCAAAAUAUAGUGAAUAACCCUGUACAUUCAUUGGGGCCGACAAACCGGCUCUGUCCCGUCAUACAGCUGACCGACUAUAAUAACUUUUAUUUAUAUUUAAUUUAGAAAGUGUGUACUGAUUUUCAGCCUUAGUAAAUGGAUUUAAUUACCUGCGUAGGAAAGCAACUUUGAUAUCCUCUCAGUAACCCCUGUUCUACGUUUCGCUUGACCGACCGCAGUAUGUUUGUCUUCACAAUCACAGUAAUUAACUGUGAAAAAUCUAGCUUUAGUAAAUUCAAAAAGAUUUUUCAGCGCUGCCUCUUGGACUAUAAUAUGCUUGUUACGCACGGGGAGCUGUACUAUAAUAUAUAUUAUAGGUAACUUAUAUAUUAUAUCUUAUAUCGCUCACUAUAGUAAUAAAUGAGCCUGCAAAAAGCCAUAAUAUACAUAAUAUUAUGGUUCCGUGUAUGCAGGCUGACUCAUUACUAUAGUGAGCGAUGUGAGAUGUAAUAGAUGAGAUAUAAUAUGUAUUGUAGCUCCCCGUCAGUAACAAGCUUUAUGCUUGGAAUAUAAACGUUGAAGAUUAUAGCAGUAUCAGCGCGUAUUUAAUUUUGAAAAAAACAGGCUCACAAUGUUGUACCCAAUGAUAUUUCGUCAAUUCGUAUGUCGUGCGAAUAACGUUAAACUUAAACUGUGUAACAGCUUAAUGGAGGUAAAAUACUGUUGGUUGAUCUCAAUUCUAUCAAAACAGACGAAUAUCAAUGGCUUACUGUGAUGAUAUACCUUACUGUGAUGUGCUUCGCUCGACGCGCGCAGCUUGUUCGUUAGAUUAGUACGUGUUUUCAAGAGGCGCUCUGUGUGUGCGCCUAAAUCUAACAAACAUGCUACGCGCAAGCGGCGCGCGCGCCUUACAGAGCGCAUAUUUAUACAUACCUUUACACGUAAAUUCUUCACAUAAAAUUUAGGUUAGACUAUGCAGAAAUUCAAUUUAAAGUCGCUCCUGUAAAAUUAUCUUUAAAAUGAGAUACGAAGUUUUCACACUAAGUCGCCAUCGAUACAUUUCUUUUUUCUGUUAGAAGUGAAUCGGUACACAAGUCAUUAUUUAUGCGAAGAGUACAGAGUCGGUAGUUUUAACUCGAGCGUUUAACGGGUCGAAUGACAUUCUAAUGGCGGUUUUCCACUAAUCUAAAUACUAUUGACUGUAAUACAUCCAACUCCCACAGAAAUCUGGAAGCACGUUGCCACUAGCGCCACUGUCGGCUUGAGUUGAACUACGUUUUGACAACGUAAAAUUUGACGUAAACAUUCAAAUUUAAUUUUAUAAAUUUUUGAAUAACGAGCUAAUUUUGCUAAAUUAAAUUAAAAUAGGAAUAAAAUCUAUAAGGAAAAAUUUCCUGUAUACCAUUAAUUACAAAAAUUUAAGAAAAAAAUAUUCUGUGUAAAAGGUAUAUUUAUUUAAAACCCCAAUAAAGGGCUAUAUUAAAAGACAACGUUUUCGCUAUAAAGAGAGCAUCAUCAGUGUUCUAAGCAAGCUCUACAUGCUAAGCCACCAAAAGUACAUGGGUUAAAACCCUUAAAAUGCCGACCAAAAGUCUUACAUUGGCAUAUUGUAUAUCAAACCCUGGCGAUGGGUGAAAUUUAAACAAGAUAGGAAAUAGGAAUAGUUCAAACACUUAUACAAAAACAAUAAUAAAGCAAUUUUAUAAAUGUAAGGUUAGAUUGCUCUGGUUAUCCUACUCAUACCGCUAGAUGGCGCUAGUUUUUUGCUUCCUCAAAAUUAAUGGGAAAUGUCAAGAGUUGUAUGUAUUACAGUCUAUAGUAUUUGGUAUAGGCAGAUAUAUUUAAAUACGUUAGAAAAUCGUACCUUCAAGUCUGUGUUCUACACUAUUCCAUAACGUCGAUCCGUUAAUGCAUGGCCGUCUUGAUUUGAACAGGCCGUCGUAUUAGAUGCGACAACCCUAUCGAGCUGUCAAAUGGAGGGCCUAUUUAUAGAUAUAAUAGUGGUCCUAUAGUGAGAAGAAUACAAUUUGUUAGGGGGCUAUGGUUAAAUAGUUCGGUUAAAACUGCCGUGUCUGUACUCUAGCGUAGCAGCAAAGAAGUGUAAUCUUUAAUCGUGCGAGGUUUCGUACACGUUUCGUAUAAAUAGAGCUAUCAUUAGGUAUUAUACGCCUGAACAUUUAGAACAUUAAUAAGGGAGCGAAGACUGCCUUACUAUAAGUAGACUAGUUUAUACGAAAUUUAGUCUACAUUUUUUGCCGCGCUAGAUUGAUGAUUAUCACUAAUUAGAGAUGGACAUACCAAGUAGACAUAUUAGAGCUGUAAUCUUACAAUUACCUUGACUGUUAGAAUUACUUUAACUAAAAACCAAAUUAGUGUAACAAAUUAAUUAUACGUUUAAAUAUGUAAAAUUAAACCUAAAACUAGUUGUUGACCAAGUAAAUAGUAAUUUACAUACUAAAUUUGUAUUAUCAAAUAGACAAAAUAUUCUUUGUGCAACUUGCUUCCUUUUAUUAUGUGAAAGCUCAAUGGAUGGUGAAUAGGCUCAAAAACUGGUAGGUCGGGAUGUCAAAAUUAUACUUGGAAUGUUUUACAAUAAAUAAGACUUCUAGCAAUUUUAUUAAUGUUUAUUUUAAAAAGUUUUCUAAACUUUGCUCAAAAUUUACUCAAUAUUAAAUUUUUUAUAUAAAAUACUUGUUUCUAAUCAUUUAAGACCUAUCGGUUAAAAGUACUACAAGCACUUUGGUCGGCUUGUGGUUUAUGAAUUUACUAAAUAAAAAAAAGAAAUUAUUAUUAGGAGCCUUCAUGAAAAAAGUUUGUACUAUUUUUAUUUUUAAUCAAUUUCCUAACAGCAAAAUGCAAGUAACGCUUAAAUAAAUAUAUGUACAUAUGAAAUAUGUGAUUUUUGUGUAUACAUCUAUAAUCUUUUUGGUAAAAGGUAAUUUUAAAAAAUAUAUAAAUAAACUAAUUUAUAGAAA